rnacentral:rRNA from 1 species
AGCGUUGUUCGGAAUUAAUGGGCGUAAAGGGCGCGUAGGCGGCCUGUUAAGUCGAACGUGAAAUCCCCGGGCUCAACCCGGGAACUGCGUCCGAUACUGGCAGGCUUGAAUCCGGGAGAGGGAUGCGGAAUUCCAGGUGUAGCGGUGAAAUGCGUAGAUAUCCGAAGGAACGCCGGUGGCGAAAGCGACGUGCUGGAUCUCUUCUGACGCUGAGGCGCGAAAGCCAGGGUAGCGAACGGG